CACCGAUCUGAAAAUUAUGGAUGGGUGUGAGAUGCACCUAGGUACUCCAGGAGUUUAAGACCAAUACACACAAUAAUGACAUAAGGUCAACAUUGUAAAAGACAGUCAUCAAAUGACAGAAGUCCCUUCUUAACAGCUAAGCUGGAAGAUGUCUUGAUCUAGAAUAAUGUCUCUGGAUUCAAGAAUAAGGACUUCUGCUAAGGAAAAAGUCAGACUUUGGAAACUGCGGAAGGAAAGUUGAACGAGUUAGCUUUCUGCUACACAAAAAGCUAAUGAGAAUUCUAAACAUCACAGUGGUGUCUGUUGUAUGGCAGCAAAGUUGCGCCAUUACUGAUAUUCAGUGGAAAUGAAGGUGACUAGUAUGGGCCUUUGUGAAGCACACUACUACUUGGGAAGCUCAAUGAGGCACAGAGACCACCUGGGUUCCUCUAUUCAUUAUGUAUAUUCAUUCGGUUCAGAGAAAACCAAUUCUAAGAGAGAAUUCUUUUAUGCUCUAUAUUUUGUUACUACUGUAUAGCUUUUCUGUACUUAAAAACAAGGGAUUUUUGUUUUCUUGGGUUGAGAUGACUCCCUAGAGCACAGUUGCAUUUGUGGUGACCUAAUAAUGAUACUUACAUAGAGUCCAAGGAAUAAACUGUCACUGAAGAUGAAGUAAUUGGACAGAACUGGAUAGGGUCAAUGACUGGUCACCUCAGACACAAUUAUUAGGUCUACAUCUGACAUGCUUGCUGUGAAGUCUGAUUCCCCAAAGAACAGAUGAUCCACUGCUGACCAGAGAAGCUCAAGAACAAGUGGCACUAGUUUCCAGACUCAUCUAUGGUGUAGAGAAGACUGAGCACAUAUCUGAGCCAAACAAUACUGACCUUUGGAUCAUUCCGCAGGAGCUUAAUGGAAGACUUUCUUCUAAAUACCAAGGUUGGGUGACUGGAACACAUCACACAGAGAAGGUUUUUUUCUGGGCUGCCUCCAUCUCCUCCUUCACAGUGGAUGUCACAACCUUCAACAGUGACAGCAACAGCAAAUUAUUCAGUUGUCACAGCACAAAGAACAUUGUGAGGAGCACCAAGAGCUCAUAAAGGACAGGCUCACUGACUGCCCUUUUUCUCCAGUGGAAAAUAUAAACAUAAAAGAAGCAAUGGCAGGUGUCAAGAGGGUGGAAAAGAGGAAUUUGGGAGUUAAAAGAAUCUCAGGGAAGUUCUGCAGUGAGGACAUAUGAAACAUAUGACAGAGCACUGCAGAGUGUGCAGGUUAGUCAGAUGAGGAAGGAAAUGAAAUGAUGUGUUAUUUAGAUUAUAACCAGAUGGGCAUGGAAGACAGGGCAAUUGAAGUUGAUUCUCCACUUGUUGUCAGUGGAAGAAAGACCAUUUCUCUAUCUUAAGCUAGUGAAUAAUUUUCUGAGUCUUUAUUUCAAUUUUUGGCUCAUCUUAUUUUAGAAAGUCUUGGCAUGUAGUUUCUUCAUGAAUGAGAUGUUUAGAAUUAAAUUAAAGAUGAAAUCAG
rnacentral:lncRNA from 1 species